GGCAUUAAGUUAUGCCAUAUACUGAAAUUAUAAAAAAUAUCUAUAACUUCUUAAUUUUUUGAUGUCUUUGAAAGGAAUUCUUUGAAAAUGAGAGAGAUGGUAGGCAUUAAUUUGUCAUACUUUAUGAAGCAUUGUGUGUAUAUUGAUUUGAAUUAGACACAUAAUUUCUUAUACUUUUUUGAGGGAAAAAUCCAGUGAGUAAUAAUGCUGUUGCUAUCUUACAGUAGUAGAUUAGUAGGCAUAGAGCUGGGAGAGUGUUCUGAACCUGGCUUUAGUG
rnacentral:lncRNA from 1 species